UAGGUAUAGAUUAAGCUGGUGAAUAAUUGUCUAACUGCCAUGUAGCCGAUAAUUCUAAUAGAUUUGAAUUUCUCAAGAGGUUAUUACAAUAUGUUUUCUACCUAAAUCUUUUUAUCUAUUACUGUGAAUCCCAAUUCUUUUGAUUCUGGGUAUGGAUUUAAAGUCAAAAACUCGGAGGUAAAAGAUGGAAGUAGGAAAAAGUGUAGGAUUCAAGAGUCGGGUUUUGACAGUUGAAGAUACAUUUGAACUUAUUUUUCUUGAAAACAUAAUCGAUAAAAAUUUCAAGUUGGUAUUUAAGGAUAUAAUAGAAAGCGAUCAGCUUUUUGAAGCGAUAAAAUAGGAAAGGAUAACGAAUCUUGAAGAUGGACUGAAAAAAGGACGACCCAUGAGCAGUUUUUCAUGCUUAUUUAUUUUUUAUUUUCAUUUUUUUAUUCUCUUAAAAUUUUUAGUUUUUA